CCUACGGGAGGCAGCAGUGAGGAAUAUUGGUCAAUGGGAGAGAUCCUGAACCAGCCAAGCCGCGUGAGGGAAGACGGCCCUAUGGGUUGUAAACCUCUUUUGUCGGAGAACAAAACCCGGGACGUGUCCCGGACUGCGUGUAUCCGAAGAAAAAGCAUCGGCAAACUCCGGGCCAGCAGCCGCGGUAAUACGGAGGAUGCGAGCGUUAUCCGGAUUUAUUGGGUUUAAGGGGUGCGUAGGCGGUCCGUUAAGUCAGCGGGAAAAUUGCGGGGCUCAACCCUGUCGAGCCGUUGAAACUGGCAGACUUGAGUUGGCGAGAGGUACGCGGAAUGCGCGGUGUAGCGGUGAAAUGCAUAGAUAUCGCGCAGAACUCCGAUUGCGAAGGCAGCGUACCGGCGCCAGACUGACGCUGAGGCACGAAAGCGUGGGGAUCGAACAGGAUUAGAUACCCCAGUAGUC
rnacentral:rRNA from 1 species